UUCAGCAAAUACUCUUAUUUUAUGGCUCUAGUUCAUCCUUAUAGUGCUUAUUCAGUGGCUAAGGUGUUUAUGGAUAAUGUAUACAAAUUACAUGGCCCCUCAGCUGCUAUUGUGAGUGAUAGGGAUCCAAUAUUUGUCGGCCAGUUCUAUAAGCAAUCGUUUAAGCAUCCAGGAGUUAACUUACAUUACCUAACAACCUAUCACUUUCAAUUUAAUGGCUAGACAAAGAUGGUCAAAAAAUGUCUAGAAACCUACUUGCGAUGCAUGACUAGUGAUAGCCUUACUCCUUGGUUUAAAUGGCUUUCCCUUGCUGAAUGGUGGUAUGACACCAAUUUCUGUUCUUCCACUAAGACCACUCCUUAUGAAGUUCUUUAUGGAUUCCAUCCACCUACUCAUUGGUUUAUGGAUUGUAGAAUGGUUAAAUGAGGAAAUCAAGCAGCAACCCAAGUAUUGAUUCACUGGAAGGGUUUGUCUCGAGCGCAAGAUUGAGAGGGAAGAGGGUAGCUGUUUGGGUGCGCGAGACACGGCGGUGGUGCUUUUGAGGUUAAGGUUUCUCAAAUUUAGUUUUUUUAUAUCA